GUGGUGGGAGUGAUCAGAAGAACCUGCCGAAGAGCACACCCCCUCUGGUCUGAUGGUCCCACCACCGCCCCAUGUGAACCUGUCCCACUCCUGGAGGAGUGGACCUAGGAGACCAGAAGAGUGCAUCAGGGGACAGUGGCCCCAGAACCUCAGCUCUGAACAACCCAAGACUGGUCCCAAGUUGGCUAACAGCUGCUCAAGAAACAAAGGAAUCUGGGGUCUUCUGACAUGCCUGUUGAGCAGUAGGAGCUGUUCUCCCUCCCCAAGUCCUAUCACUGUAUUCAGGUAGAGGAGGUAGGGAGGGGUCUGUCCUUUGGUCCCAAAAAACAAGAUCUCGGCUUGCUUCCUGAUGGCCAUCCCUACCCAACACAGUGUGG
rnacentral:sRNA from 1 species